AUCGCUUCUCGGCCUUUUGGCUAAGAUCAAGUGUAGGAAUAGCUAUACUGUGUGGUUCUUGGGAACUGCGGAAAAUAGUUAUUAUCACAACUAACCCAUAGUUUUAGAGACGCCUAAAAUAAUUAUUUUAUCUGCGUUCACUAAUUUAACCCUCACAGCAACCUCAAGGGGUCGGAAUUCAGUCAUU